rnacentral:rRNA from 1 species
AUGAUGACUCUCGGCAACGGAUAUCUCGGCUCUCGCAUCGAUGAAGAACGCAGCGAAAUGCGAUACGUGGUGUGAAUUGCAGAAUCCCGCGAACCAUCGAGUCUUUGAACGCAAGUUGCGCCCGAGGGACCCGCCUGAGGGCACGCCUGCCUCAUGGGCGUUAGAA